rnacentral:rRNA from 1 species
AUAUGUGACGUGACCGCAUGGUCUUCGUUUGGAAAGAUUUUUCGGUUGGGGAUGGGCUCGCGGCCUAUCAGCUUGUUGGUGAGGUAAUGGCUCACCAAGGCGUCGACGGGUAGCCGGCCUGAGAGGGUGACCGGCCACACUGGGACUGAGACACGGCCCAGACUCCUACGGGAGGCAGCAGUGGGGAAUAUUGCACAAUGGGCGCAAGCCUGAUGCAGCAACGCCGCGUGAGGGAUGACGGCCUUCGGGUUGUAAACCUCUUUUAGCAGGGAAGAAGCGAAAGUGACGGUACCUGCAGAAAAAGCGCCGGCUAACUACGUGCCAGCAGCCGCGGUAAUACGUAGGGCGCAAGCGUUAUCCGGAAUUAUUGGGCGUAAAGAGCUCGUAGGCGGUUUGUCGCGUCUGCUGUGAAAUCCCGAGGCUCAACCUCGGGCCUGCAGUGGGUACGGGCAGACUAGAGUGCGGUAGGGGAGAUUGGAAUUCCUGGUGUAGCGGUGGAAUGCGCAGAUAUCAGGAGGAACACCGAUGGCGAAGGCAGAUCUCUGGGCCGUAACUGACGCUGAGGAGCGAAAGGGUGGGGAGCAAACAGGCUUAGAUACCCUGGUAGUCCACCCCGUAAACGUUGGGAACUAGUUGUGGGGUCCAUUCCACGGAUUCCGUGACGCAGCUAACGCAUUAAGUUCCCCGCCUGGGGAGUACGGCCGCAAGGCUAAAACUCAAAGGAAUUGACGGGGACCCGCACAAGCGGCGGAGCAUGCGGAUUAAUUCGAUGCAACGCGAAGAACCUUACCAAGGCUUGACAUAUACGAGAACGGGCCAGAAAUGGUCAACUCUUUGGACACUCGUAAACAGGUGGUGCAUGGUUGUCGUCAGCUCGUGUCGUGAGAUGUUGGGUUAAGUCCCGCAACGAGCGCAACCCUCGUUCUAUGUUGCCAGCACGUAAUGGUGGGAACUCAUGGGAUACUGCCGGGGUCAACUCGGAGGAAGGUGGGGAUGACGUCAAAUCAUCAUGCCCCUUAUGUCUUGGGCUUCACGCAUGCUACAAUGGCCGGUACAAAGGGCUGCAAUACCGUGAGGUGGAGCGAAUCCCAAAAAGCCGGUCCCAGUUCGGAUUGAGGUCUGCAACUCGACCUCAUGAAGUCGGAGUCGCUAGUAAUCGCAGAUCAGCAACGCUGCGGUGAAUACGUUCCCGGGUCUUGUACACACCGCCCGUCAAGUCAUGAAAGUCGGUAACACCUGAAGCCGGUGGCCUAACCCUUGUGGAGGGAGC